rnacentral:rRNA from 1 species
GAUGAACGCUGGCGGCGUGCCUAAUACAUGCAAGUCGAGCGAACAGACGAGGAGCUUGCUCCUCUGACGUUAGCGGCGGACGGGUGAGUAACACGUGGAUAACCUACCUAUAAGACUGGGAUAACUUCGGGAAACCGGAGCUAAUACCGGAUAAUAUAUUGAACCGCAUGGUUCAAUAGUCAAAGACGGUUUUGCUGUCACUUAUAGAUGUAUCCGCGCCGCAUUAGCUAGUUGGUAAGGUAACGGCUUACCAAGGCAACGAUGCGUAGCCGACCUGAGAGGGUGAUCGGCCACACUGGAACUGAGACACGGUCCAGACUCCUACGGGAGGCAGCAGUAGGGAAUCUUCCGCAAUGGGCGAAAGCCUGACGGAGCAACGCCGCGUGAGUGAUGAAGGUCUUCGGAUCGUAAAACUCUGUUAUUAGGGAAGAACAAAUGUGUAAGUAACUAUGCACGUCUUGACGGUACCUAAUCAGAAAGCCACGGCUAACUACGUG